AUUGAACGCUGGCGGCAGGCCUAACACAUGCAAGUCGAACGAGUGGCGGACGGGUGAGUAAUGUCUGGGAAACUGCCUGAUGGAGGGGGAUAACUACUGGAAACGGUGGCUAAUACCGCAUACUAUCGGAUGUCCCCAUAUGGGAUUAGCUAGUGGGUGGGGUAACGGCUCACCUAGGCGACGAUCCCUAGCUGGUCUGAGAGGAUGACCAGCCACACUGGGACUGAGACACGGCCCAGACUCCUACGGGAGGCAGCAGUGGGGAAUAUUGCACAAUGGGCGCAAGCCUGAUGCAGCCAUGCCGCGUGUAUGAAGAAGGCCUUAGGGUUGUAAAGUACUUUCAGCGGGGAGGCGUUACCCGCAGAAGAAGCACCGGCUAACUCCGUGCCAGCAGCCGCGGUAAUAC
rnacentral:rRNA from 1 species